rnacentral:rRNA from 1 species
UACAGAGGUCUCAAGCGUUGUUCGGAAUUACUGGGCGUAAAGGGCGCGUAGGCGGUUCGUUAAGUCCUGUGUGAAAUCCCCCGGCUCAACUGGGGAACUGCACAGGAAACUAGCGGGCUUGAGUUCGGGAGAGGGAAGCGGAAUUCCGGGUGGUAGCGGUGAAAUGACGUAGAUAUCCGGAGGAACACCGGUGGCGAAGGCGGCUUCCUGGACCGACACUGACGCUGAGGCGCGAAAGCUAGGGGAGCAAACGGG